CCUAGGGUGGCAGCAGUGGGGAAUAUUGGACAAUGGGGGCAACCCUGAUCCAGCCAUGCCGCGUGUGUGAAGAAGGCCCUCGGGUUGUAAAGCACUUUCAGUGAGGAAGAACGCCUGGUGGUUAAUACCCAUCAGGAAAGACAUCACUCACAGAAGAAGCACCGGCUAACUCCGUGCCAGCAGCCGCGGUAAUACGGAGGGUGCGAGCGUUAAUCGGAAUUACUGGGCGUAAAGCGCGCGUAGGUGGCUUGAUAAGCCGGUUGUGAAAGCCCCGGGCUCAACCUGGGAACGGCAUCCGGAACUGUCAAGCUAGAGUGCAGGAGAGGAAGGUAGAAUUCCCGGUGUAGCGGUGAAAUGCGUAGAGAUCGGGAGGAAUACCAGUGGCGAAGGCGGCCUUCUGGACUGACACUGACACUGAGGUGCGAAAGCGUGGGUAGCAAACAGGAUUAGAUACCCCAGUAGUC
rnacentral:rRNA from 1 species